rnacentral:lncRNA from 1 species
UAUUUCUCUAUUCUAAUUAUCUAGAUUUAUGCCAAUACCUCAUGGCUUUCACUAUAACAAGAAAUGCUAAUACUUCCUUAAUAUUUGUUUUCAUUAGAUCUGGACACUUUUCAUCUUUAGGUUUUAAAGUAGUGUGUCAGUUUUGUGGAUUGAAACUAAGUUACAUGAAUAUAUCUUUUGUGAUAAAUUAUGCUGUAUAAAUAAAUACUUUUCAAAGAAAGAAAAAGACACUUCCUUUAAAUUUACUGAUCUAGAGAUUAUGCACCUUACCUGAGCAGAGCUCCCACAUCAGCCUCAUGUCCUGGUCCCGGCACUGGCUGGUUUGCACAUGCUCACUCUGGCUCAGUGUCACCCCACGGUUGGGUCGUUUCUGGCCAUAGCUAUAGUGUGCUGCUGCGGCCUUCUUAUUCGGAAGCAGCCCUGAGCAUAUGGAUACCAGGAUGCCCCACCGCCGCAUUCUUCCUUCCUAGUUCAUAAAGUCACCUGUGAGGUGGGUUUGCUAUGCCGUUUAAGAACAUCCACUUCGGCCGUGCGCGGUGGCUCACGCCUGUAAUCCCAGCACUUCGGGAGGCCAAGGUGGGUGGAUCACGAGGUCAGGAGAUCGAGACCAUCCUCGCUAAGAAAUAUUAUAUUUCAGGAUGUUCAGCGAUGACACAAAGUGUCAGGUUCAUUAAUUCAAGCUGCACCUCUCUGGCAGACACUCUACUCUUGGGAAAGUCAGAAAUAGUCUCACAUUCAGGGAGCCUCCAGUCUCCAGGCAAGUCCUAUAAAAAUAAAUAUUUGCCAUUUUUUUUAUAAUACAGUAAAUACUUGUUCAAUGUAAAAGCAGUCAAAAUGUGCACUUCUAUAUAGACAAAAUAGUAAGAAUCUCCAAGAACUGAUCAUCCAAAAAAAUACUCUUAUGUAAUUGGUAAAUACAGCAUCAGAUAAAUACAACUUUUAUUCAUUAGCCGAAUGAAUAAUUUUGUUUCCAUUACAUAUAUGUCAGAUCCUGUGCUAGGGAGUGAGGACAAAAUGAUGAGUAAUACAAGAUAUGAGACUUUCCCCUUAGGAUGUUUACAAUCUGGAAGAGCUGACAAAUGCAUAUCAAAUAAUCGCACAUUAUGUAAAGUGACAACUAUGUUACAAGCUAUGAUGGAACAAUCAGUGAUCUAUGAAAGUACUUAAGUUGGGGGUUUGAUGUACUCUAAGAAGUAAGGUAUUUAUUUAUUUACUUACUUUUUGCAGAUGACACUUCACUGGAAUCUGAAGGGCGAAGAGGUGGAUUCUGGACCUGGUGUCGUGAGAGGAGUGGUGGGGCCAAAUACAUGAAGAAGAGAAAGGUGAGUUGUUGAAAUGUCGAUUGAAAGAGGAGUUAUGUUUUGAGACAAGUCUGAAGUGCUGGAGAGGGGCCAGGCCACACAGAGAAUUGCAGACUAUCACAAGCAGAAGUUACUGGUGCAUUGCAAGUAGGUGGAUGACAAGAUAAGAUAGUUUUACACUUUGAGCAUGUGUUGGUAAAACAAGGAUGAAAGACCUGGUGACAAGUUUAAUUAUUAUUUAUGAUUUAUUUGCAAAUCAGUAUCAUAGCAAAAUGCUGUGUGCUGAAAAUUGCUCUUGUACUUAGUAAAAUAUUGUAGAUACCUUUGUUUGAGACAGCAUACUGUUCUAUACUCUUCACAGAGUCACAACGUUCACUGUGUGAAUGUACCUUGGAUUUCACAGGGUACCAUAUUUUCAUGUCUUUUUCAGUAUUUUAAAUAAUGUUGCUAAAAAUAUCCUUCAAGUUAUAUAUUUCUAUAUAUAUUUAUAUAUAUAUAAAUUCUGACAUAUAUGACCUGAAGGUAUAUAUUCAAAUAUAUAUAUAACUAUAUAUAUAUAUAUACUACAUACAUAUAUAGUAAAAUAUGCUAUUUUACUUCUAAGAAGUAAUUUUAUAGAAAUGCUGGAUUAAAGAUAGGCCCAUUUAUAGAAAUUCACAGAUAAUGUCAAACUCACCUACAAAAUAUUAUGCCAGUGUGGGCUUCCCCACCCCUACGGUUAAACAGCCUUGGAUUCACAUCACCCUUGCGUGGAAGAUUUCUGGAUCCUCCCAGCCAGUGCCGCGUGUUAUCUUCUCAUGCCCAUGCUCUGCACUUUGUAAUUACAGGGAAAUACUUUUUGCUAAAAUUUUAAACGCACACAUUCCAUUUCCUGACUCCAUAUGCUUUGUUUAACAUAUGUAUUACCCACUCACUUUCAUUACUUUAAUUAUGUCCAUUUUAGAGAUAAGAAAACUUAUUCACGAAGCAGUUAAGAAAGAAAACUUAUUCACAAAACAGUUAAGAAACUUGCCGAAAAUUAUACCGCUAGUAACUAUGCAGAAGGCUUUAAGUCACUACGGCAUGUUUUCUUCAGAAAAGGUGUUUUAUAAAAUUCAAAAUUGAUCUGUGAUUUUUAAAAAAUCCCUUAGUACACUAAAAGUAAAUCAUAACUCACUAAUGUAGAGAAAGUUCAUUUAAAAAGGAUAACUCUCAUAGAUUAGGAAAUAAAAUAGUUCUCUGUUAAUUUGGUUCACAAUAGUAAAGGUACCACUGAAUGCCAGCUCUGGGCACUGGAGCUUCAGGGAUGAGAAACAGCUGUGUGCUUUGCCCUCUCUUGCUUCUUAGAAUCUCUUAGUAAAGAUCAGUCAUUCAAUAGUCACUGACUUUCAAGCCUACUUUUUACUAUGUUAGGGAAAGUUCACGGGUUGGUGUGAGGGUGAGUAUAAAGGGACAGAGAGCCAGGGCCUGACACCGAGAAAAAGACACAGGGGUGUAUGUUCCAGGAGACUCAAUGCCAGCAGUGCGCUCGCACAGGUGAAACUGUGCUGGUGGAGAUUCUACCAUACAUAAGAAGGAGAUGAUGGCAGCAAGACUUGAGGUAUAACUGCAGAAAUGAAAAGGAAAAAAAAGCAGAUCUGAGAAAUACUUAAUCUGUAACUGCUGAGCUGUGGAAGAGCAAAGAGGGAGGCAUAUGGUGGGAUUAUCCCUUGGAAUGGGAAACAUUAAAUGAAGAGCAAGUUGAGAAG